AUGAACGCUGGCGGCGUGCCUAAUACAUGCAAGUCGAGCGAACAGACGAGGAGCUUGCUCCUCUGACGUUAGCGGCGGACGGGUGAGUAACACGUGGAUAACCUACCUAUAAGACUGGGAUAACUUCGGGAAACCGGAGCUAAUACCGGAUAAUAUAUUGAACCGCAUGGUUCAAUAGUGAAAGACGGUUUUGCUGUCACUUAUAGAUGGAUCCGCGCCGCAUUAGCUAGUUGGUAAGGUAACGGCUUACCAAGGCGACGAUGCGUAGCCGACCUGAGAGGGGGAAGGACCAACAGGGAAAUGAAACAGGGGCAAGAACCCCAGGGGAGGCAAAAAGAGGGAACAUUACGAAAAGGGAGAAAGCAGAAAGGAAAAACGCCGGGGGAGUGAAGAAGGGUUUGGGAAUGAAAAAAUCUGUUAUGAGGGAAAAAAAAAUGGGAAAGUAAAUAGGAACGUUUUGACGGUAACAAAACAAAAAGCCACGGCUAACUAAGU
rnacentral:rRNA from 1 species